rnacentral:lncRNA from 1 species
UUCUCAGGUUCCCCACCACUGGAGAGGAGAGGCAAUAUUCAGAAAAAAGUAGCGUUUUAGCCAUUUUAGCUCAUCGCCUCCCGGCGAGCUGGGAAUGAAAGCAGCAGGCAGGGAAUUACCCAGGCAGCAGCUUGGACAUUGCACCCACUUAUUUUGUUGUUGCCGAAUUCAAAGCACUCGAGCCCCAAAGCGAACGCGUUUCCAGGUCCCCUUACACAGAAGGACCCCGCCAAUAAACAAAGGAUUUCCUUUUCAUAAGGAGAUUACACAGCCAAGAGUCUGAUGGAAGAUUAUCGAGUCCCAUUCUUGUGCCGAGCUCCCCCAUAAGAUACCAGCGGAUCUGAUAACGGGCGAGCACCAAAAAAAACAACUUUUUGGUGUUCUGAAAAGCAGCUCUGUGUGGGGAGAUAAAACUGUGUGCUGGGAACCAUGGGGAAGGUUAAUGCAGCUAACGUGGAGCUCAGGAUGUUGGCCAGCAGAACGAGCCACCUCUAAUUCCCCAGCCACCUAGCAUUGACCUCUCCCAACAAAAACCCCAUUUUUCCCCCAAAUGGAGACCCAAGCGGGAGGCUCGGCGCAGAUGGAGGAGGCUUAAAAGCGAGCAGCACCUGGGAAUUGACACCAGGGCCAAACGGGGAGGGGACAGGAAAGAGGAUCCUGCAAAGCCCUGGGGAUGCUGUGGGGAAACUCGCUGCUGGCCCAAAAACUUCCAAAAUCCACCGCUGUGGAAGCAGCAGCGCCUCUCACGCUCAGCUGGUGCUGCUGGGAUUAAUUAGCACCAAUUAGCUGAUGGAAGCAACCCAUGAGCCGGGACAGCUGAUAAAGGUAGGGCAAGAGGGAUGGGUGCAUGGCCUGGGGGUCAUGAGUUAGGGUCACAUCCUGCAGCCCUUUGGGCACCCAUUUUGGGGUCUCUGCGUGAUUCCCAGCAGGAAUGGCAUCGAUGGUCCCUGCCGCUGCCGAGCGGCGGAAAGGAGAUGCUGCCUGGCUGGAUGCGAGCGAUUAAAGCGAGAACGGGGAAAGCUGGAGCCUGCCUGGCUGGCUGCACGGCGUGGGCAUGG